UUGCUUUCUGUGUUGACUUUUUAGCUCUUUUGUAAAUUAAGUACUCAUGUAGUUUGGUGAUGUUUAUUGCAGUCUCUGUCAAAGAGGAUCAAUUACGGUAAAUUUGUUGCAGAGGCCAAGUUCCAGCCUCACCUAAGGCAUACGAGUCUGCCAUCAAAGCACAAGUUGGAAUGUACAAGAGCCCUGAUGAACAUCCUUUUUUCCCUGGCGAUUUACUAGAGAGAUUUAAAGAUCGAGUUUUUACUGUGUUUUUAGCAAAGAAACUGAAACAAAACUUGUUUGAACUGUGUUUUAAUGGAAUCAGUUUGCUUUCUUA